AGAGACUUAGGAUAAUAAGACCAAGAGCCUUCAAAGCCCUAAGUAAGGGUGAAAACCCCUUAGUCCCUG
rnacentral:tRNA from 1 species